CUGGUGCAACUCAGCUGAAACGUCGGAAUUUAAGGUAAAAACAAUGAAAUUAUAUCGCGGUAGACCCGUUUGUGUAAUUAAAUAUGUGUACAAAACGCGAGAGUUAAAGUGUUACAUGGGCAUAAUUUCACUGUACCUAUGUAAGUAUUUAUAUACUCGUAAUAAUAAUCUCUAAUCAUUGUGAUUUGGGUCUCACAACGACUGAUGUAAGUAAAUGCGUGAUUUCCUUGAAGACUAAAGUUGUGCACGUUUCAAAAUAAGAUGAAAACUGUCAAUAAAACUAGUUUUCUGGUUUUGUAAAGACUAAUUGACAUAAACAUCUGUCAAAUGAUUCUGAUAUCUGAUAACUGUCAAUGAUUACUGGAUACAGGCAAUAUCAGUUGUCACAACUGCCUGCCUGCUUAUAGAAUACAUAAUAAUAAUAAUAUAUGUCUCCGGCGUGUCUUCGUCGGUCGGAGUGGACCCCAAGGGGACCCGCAGGACUCUCAGCUCUGGCUUGCCUUCAUUGGCCGUCCAGAGAGGAGUCGCUAGAGCUAUAUGCUCCAGGGGUGGAAGUGAAAGAUGCAUAAGACGCGAGUUGGCACAGUGGCUGGUAACAGCCACUGGGUAGAAAGCGGCGCACACCUCUCGACACCCCUGAGCCGCUCACACCGGUGUUGCCCCUGGUCGUCUUUACGACGGCAGUUUCAGGGGCCCAUCUAGUAAGCGGCGAUUCAGCACCUGCCUCGAUAACGUGUACUAACAUUGUUAUGGCAGGUGUCCGGACCUCUCAGCAAUAGCCCAAUCUUUUGACCAGCCAAAAUUCAUCACCAUAACCAGCAGUUUUCUCCACUAUAUUUACAAUAGCCCCUACGCCUGUUGGGACCGAUUUACGGGUAUCUAUUUGUACCCGUGAAUGGGUUCUAGCAGGUGUAUUACAUAACAGCAAACUUCUCCAAAGGGCCUCUACGUGUUGGAUCUGUAUCCCCACGCACGCCUAUCAAAUGACCGGGAUGUAUAUACCCGUGAGUUUAGAAGAGAGAUAAAUGUAAACAAUAGUCCCAAUGCCUGCUGCGACCGGUUCAUGGGUGUCUAUUGUUGCACCUGUGUGUGAACGGGUUCCAGCAGGCGUUCUACAUCACAUUAAAGCUCUCCAAGGGGCAUCUACGUGUUGGAUCUAUAUCCCCACGCAAGCCUAUCAAAAGACCGGGAUUUAUAGGCCCGUGAAAUCCAAAAUGGAGUACAAAUAAUAAAUGUAAACAAUCUGUGUUAUUUUAGGGCCACCCCAAACUAGCGUCUUUUGAGUGUCGCCGUUUAGUCAGCGCUCUGGAAAAUGGCGUCGCUGCGCAGUUGCGCCGACGUCGCGUCGAACAGGAGCCGUAGAGUUAACUAGACGCCGACAACGCUCGGGAGAAGCUAGUGUGGGGUGGCCCUAAAUACCAUAUUUUAAAACGUGCACAUAUUAAUAAUAUUUAGGAUACAUAUAAAAUCUUUAUUCUUAGUCAAGACGAGAAUGAAUGUAUAGAGAGGAGUAGGAGAUAUACCGAAGUACUAAGUGACUUAAAGGUAGGGAUUAAUUAUUCUAUCCUAACGACUCUUUGGAAGAAAUUCAUCAAUUUCCAAAACAAAAACAGGAUUCAGUUACUGUACUAUUAGAAAUGAGAUGGGAUGUAGGAUUAUGGGGGCGCCAUAAGCCUUCAGUAAGAAGUGCAUAUACUUGGAAAUAUUCGACCUAUGCCGCUGUGGCCCGGUGGCCGAAUGGCACAGGCACCUGCCGCGAUAGCAGAGGACGCUGGUUCGAUUCCAGCCUGGGGCACCGAAGGCCUUGGUCAUGCACUUUUUCUUAGUAUAUGACUUUUAUUACAGUUAAUUAACUUUAAACCUUAUUUCUACGAGAUAAGGUCUACCAAAUUGUCAGUUCAGUGUGAUGCUGUUAGUGCUAUGAAACAGUUUAUUAUAGCUUAAGAGAUAUUUUAUGUCGAUAAUAUUAUAUUGAAUUACAAUUGUCAGAUUUAUAAACUGAUUAACACUUACGAUAGCCUCCUAAGGCCCAAGGUCCUACCAAUAGUUCGGUGAAAUUUAAAUCAUAUACAAUUGGAAUAGAGUCGCAUUUGUUUGGUUUCGUUCAAAUUUCAAACAAAACCAAAAUCAACUCUAUUCCCUGCACUGUAGGUUCAAAUUUCAGUGACAAAUUCUGGAUUUUUCAUUUCUAUGGCUGGGCCUUAGGAGGAUAGGCAGUACGAGUACUGUCGAUUAAGCGUUGUCACGCUUUAUUACAAAUGUGCUAGUUGCAACAAGUUUCCGCGUCUGAUAAAUUUCACAGGAAUUAAAGUUUCCAUCUUGGGAGUGUCUGAGAUCUUUCCAUGUGGAAAGUUUAGCAGUAUUGGAAACGUGGCACGUUAGUAGUUAAGCUCUCGGGCUCUUAUAUUAUGUGUGUGAUGAAUAGUAUUUUGAUUGUUUUUAGUGUUUGCUUUUAGGGUGGGAAAAUAUAAUUUGUUGUAAAUAUAUGUGUCGGGGUAAUCGGCAUAUUUGUUGGUGCAUCAUUAUAUAUUAACCCCUUUCUAGGCAGCACCAAUAUAGAAUCAAACCAAGAUAACUUGGCAGUGAUUUUGGUAGAACAGACUGUCCAAGCGUUAUUUUAAACGUCGUAAUUUCAUAGAACUUUGACGUUUAAAAUAACACUUGCACAGUAUGUGCUGUCAAAAUCGCUGCCGAGUUAGCUUGGUCUGACUCUAAAAAGAAGACAUAUCGCUGGCCCAAUAUUACAGGGUUCUAUGUUUCACUUUUAUCGAACUGAAAUUUGAACAUUGCCAUAGUGACAUUGAGUCGAAUUUCAACUAUCUUGAAAAUGUAACAUAGAACCCUGUAAUAUUGGGCCAGCGAUAUUUAAAAUAGUUAAGCAUUUCAAGAGACGAAGUCUAAUCUCAUUUGGACUUUAAUUAGUAAGUAAUACUUAAGUUGAAAUACCGUUUAAAUGUAAGAGAUGGAUAUAUAGUUCUGCAUGGAAAAGGGUUAAAAUAAAAUAGCACAAGUGGCAACUUUCCUAAUACCGCUUUUCAUAUAGAAAGGCACAUAUUUGUCCAUUAGGUUAAAAUAUUAUUUGAUUGUUUUCUGAUUUAAUUAUUUUUGUAUUUGAAAAUUAUCCCACAAACAUGUAAAGAUGUAUAAAAUGUAUUUAUAUAGUGAGAAACGAUCUCAGCAAUCUUUAGUAAUAAU